GUGAACAUACCUCGCGUUGCCUCGGCAGGUGGCGUCUCGCCCCGUAGAGUCCUACCCUGUAAGACGUUACCCUGUAAGACCCUACACGGUAGACGACCCUGCCGACGGCCCCCGAAACUCUGUUUUUAUAGCAUUAGACUUCUGAAAAGAUAACUAAAUAAGUUAAAACUUUCAACAACGGAUCUCUUGGUUCUGGCAUCGAUGAAGAACGCAGCGAAAUGCGAUAAGUAAUGUGAAUUGCAGAAUUCAGUGAAUCAUCGAAUCUUUGAACGCACAUUGCGCCCACCAGUAUUCUGGUGGGCAUGCCUGUUCGAGCGUCAUUUCAACCCUUAAGCCCCUGUUGCUUAGCGUUGGGAGCCUACUGGACCUUGUCCGGUAGCUCUCCAAAGUCAGUGGCGGAGCCGGUUCGCACUCCAGACGUAGUAGCUUUUACACGUCGCCUGUAGCGCGGGCCGGUCCCCUGCCGUAAAACACCCCAAUUCUUAUAGGUUGACCUCGGAUCAGGUAGGAAUACCCGCUGAACUUAAGCAUAUCAA
rnacentral:rRNA from 1 species